AUCACUUCUCGGCCUUUUGGCUAAGAUCAAGUGUAGUAUAAUUUGGCUUCAGUGGUUCCAAAAGCCUGCUUGUAUAAGUUGAUAAUAUUGUUAUGAUGCAUUCCUA
ensembl:snRNA U2 U2 spliceosomal RNA